CCUACGGGUGACAGCAGUGAGGAAUAUUGGUCAAUGGCCGAGAGGCUGAACCAGCCAAGUCGCGUGAGGGAAGACGGCCCUACGGGUUGUAAACCUCUUUUGUCGGGGAGCAAAGAGAGUCACGUGUGACUCAUUGAGAGUACCCGAAGAAAAAGCAUCGGCUAACUCCGUGCCAGCAGCCGCGGUAAUACGGGGGAUGCGAGCGUUAUCCGGAUUUAUUGGGUUUAAGGGGUGCGCAGGCGGAGGUGCAAGUCAGCGGUAAAAUGGCGGGGCUCAACCCCGUACUGCCGUUGAAACUGCAUGCCUUGAGUGCGCGAGAAGUAUGCGGAAUGCGUGGUGUAGCGGUGAAAUGCAGAGAUAUCACGAAGAACUCCGAUUGCGAAGGCAGCAUACCGGCGCGCAACUGACGCUCAUGCACGAAAGCGUGGGUAUCGAACAGGAUUAGAUACCCUAGUAGUC
rnacentral:rRNA from 1 species